GAGUUUGAUUAUGGCUCAGAUUGAACGCUGGCGGCAGGCCUAACACAUGCAAGUCGAACGGUAACAGGAAGUGCUUGCACUUCGCUGACGAGUGGCGGACGGGUGAGUAAUGCUUGGGAACUUGCCUUUGCGAGGGGGAUAACAAUUGGAAACGACUGCUAAUACCGCAUAAUGUCUACGGACCAAACGGGGCUUAGGCUCCGGCGCAAAGAGAGGCCCAAGUGAGAUUAGCUAGUUGGUAAGGUAAAGGCUUACCAAGGCAACGAUCUCUAGCUGUUCUGAGAGGAAGAUCAGCCACACUGGGACUGAGACACGGCCCAGACUCCUACGGGAGGCAGCAGUGGGGAAUAUUGCACAAUGGGGGAAACCCUGAUGCAGCCAUGCCGCGUGUGUGAAGAAGGCCUUCGGGUUGUAAAGCACUUUCAGUUGUGAGGAAAAGUUAGUAGUUAAUACCUGCUAGCCGUGACGUUAACAACAGAAGAAGCACCGGCUAACUCCGUGCCAGCAGCCGCGGUAAUACGGAGGGUGCGAGCGUUAAUCGGAAUUACUGGGCGUAAAGCGCACGCAGGCGGUUUGUUAAGCUAGAUGUGAAAGCCCCGGGCUCAACCUGGGAUGGUCAUUUAGAACUGGCAGACUAGAGUCUUGGAGAGGGGAGUGGAAUUCCAGGUGUAGCGGGUGAAAUGCGUAGAUAUCUGGGAGGAACAUCAGUGGGCGAAAGGCGACUCCCCUGGCCCAAAGACUGACGCUCAUGUGCGAAAGUGUGGGGUAGCGAAACAGGAUUAGAAUACCCCUGGUAGUCCCACACCCGUAAAACGCCUGGUUCUUA
rnacentral:rRNA from 1 species